CAGGAUUUCCCAACCAUCCUGAAUUACAAAGGAGACGUUUAUUAGUCAUGGUGAGAGAAACCAAACAUGUGUCUGACAUUUUAAGAACACGGGUAUCUGCCACAUUUCUGCCACUGAGGCACAUUGCUUAUAUCAUGUCAUGCUACUUCUUGAGAAUGCAGUCAUUAAACUGGGAAACAGAGGAUUCAAGCUGACUUAGCCACCAUCUACAUCUAAUAAGUGAAAGUAGGAUAUCUGGCUCAAGAUGUCUCACAUCCAAGAUUGAAAAAGGUACAGAAAUCAUACUUGA